UGGGGAAUAUUGCACAAUGGGCGCAAGCCUGAUGCAGCCAUGCCGCGUGUAUGAAGAAGGCCUUCGGGUUGUAAAGUACUUUCAGCGGGGAGGAAGGGAGUAAAGUUAAUACCUUUGCUCAUUGACGUUACCCGCAGAAGAAGCACCGGCUAACUCCGUGCCAGCAGCCGCGGUAAUACGGAGGGUGCAAGCGUUAAUCGGAAUUACUGGGCGUAAAGCGCACGCAGGCGGUUUGUUAAGUCAGAUGUGAAAUCCCCGGGCUCAACCUGGGAACUGCAUCUGAUACUGGCAAGCUUGAGUCUCGUAGAGGGGGGUAGAAUUCCAGGUGUAGCGGUGAAAUGCGUAGAGAUCUGGAGGAAUACCGGUGGCGAAGGCGGCCCCCUGGACGGAGACUGACGCUCAGGUGCGAAAGCGUGGGGAGCAAACAGG
rnacentral:rRNA from 1 species